AGCGAACGCUGGCGGCAGGCCUAACACAUGCAAGUCGAACGAACCCUUCGGGGUUAGUGGCGGACGGGUGAGUAACACGUGGGAACGUGCCUUUAGGUUCGGAAUAACUCAGGGAAACUUGUGCUAAUACCGAAUGUGCCCUUCGGGGGAAAGAUUUAUCGCCUUUAGAGCGUCCCGCGUCUGAUUAGCUAGUUGGUGAGGUAAUGGCUCACCAAGGCUACGAUCAGUAGCUGGUCUGAGAGGAUGACCAGCCACAUUGGGACUGAGACACGGCCCAAACUCCUACGGGAGGCAGCAGUGGGGAAUCUUGCGCAAUGGGCGAAAGCCUGACGCAGCCAUGCCGCGUGGAUGAUGAAGGUCUUAGGAUUGUAAAAUCCUCUCACCGGUGAAGAUAAUGACUGUAGCCGGAGAAGAAGCCCCGGCUAACUUCGUGCCAGCAGCCGCCGUAAAAC
rnacentral:rRNA from 1 species